rnacentral:rRNA from 2 species
AAAUUGAAGAGUUUGAUCAUGGCUCAGAUUGAACGCUGGCGGCAGGCCUAACACAUGCAAGUCGAACGGUAACAGGAAGCAGCUUGCUGCUUUGCUGACGAGUGGCGGACGGGUGAGUAAUGUCUGGGAAACUGCCUGAUGGAGGGGGAUAACUACUGGAAACGGUGGCUAAUACCGCAUAACGUCGCAAGACCAAAGAGGGGGACCUUCGGGCCUCUUGCCAUCAGAUGUGCCCAGAUGGGAUUAGCUUGUUGGUGAGGUAACGGCUCACCAAGGCGACGAUCCCUAGCUGGUCUGAGAGGAUGACCAGCCACACUGGAACUGAGACACGGUCCAGA